UGGGGAAUUUUGGACAAUGGGCGAAAGCCUGAUCCAGCAAUGCCGCGUGUGUGAAGAAGGCCUUCGGGUUGUAAAGCACUUUUGUCCGGAAAGAAAUCCUUGGCUCUAAUACAGUCGGGGGAUGACGGUACCGGAAGAAUAAGCACCGGCUAACUACGUGCCAGCAGCCGCGGUAAUACGUAGGGUGCAAGCGUUAAUCGGAAUUACUGGGGCGUAAAGCGUGCGCAGGCGGUUUGCUAAGACCGAUGUGAAAUCCCCGGGCUCAACCUGGGAACUGCAUUGGUGACUGGCAGGCUAGAGUAUGGCAGAGGGGGGUUAGAAUUCCACGUGUAGCAGUGAAAUGCGUAGAGAUGUGGAGGAAUACCGAUGGCGAAGGCAGCCCCCUGGGCCAAUACUGACGCUCAUGCACGAAAGCGU
rnacentral:rRNA from 1 species